UGUGCAUUGGAAGAGGGGUAGUCUUAUACGGCGAGUAUAUCCCAAACUCUAUAUUUUAACUGGAAAAGUUGGGGGUCGUCUUAUACGCCCAGUCGUCUUAUACGCCGGAAAAUAUGGUACCUAAAUCUCUAAAUCUCUCUAGCUAAAGCACAAGUGAAGAGAGGGAGGGAGAUCCACACUGGUUAGAGUCAAUAUUUACUAAUAUUGACCUGAUCAGACAAAUGGGGAUCAUAGUUAGAAUAAAAUUGUUAUUGGGGCAAGCUCUGGUUGGAUCACCCUAGCCUGCCCCUAUGAUGAUACAGGCUAGGGACACCCCCAGAAGCCCCAUGAUGCACUGCCUUUAGAAAGGCAGCACCAUCUUUCUAGCCACAUGGCUGGGGAGGGAGGGGGUUAAUAUCUAUUAUUUUAUUGAUUUUUAACAUUUAUAUAUAUAUAUAUAUAUUUCUUCACUGAGUGCCUCAACCCCUUCGAGGCACUCAGCACUUGUAGAGCAUCGAAAGCUUGCACGAUGGUUUCCGAUGCUCUGCUUAACGUAGAGCAACCUGGAAGUGAUCGCUCUGGAGGGAGCAAUCAACCGGCGCUCUCUGGGUGCCCGGCAGAAAUGAACAGUAUUGCACGAUGCCUCAACAUUGAGGCAUCGCUGCAAUACUAUGAGAGCGGCUGGAAGCGAUCACGAUUGCUUCCAGCACUCAAAAUAGCCGCGGACGUAUCAGGUACGUCUGAGGUCCUUAAGGACCGUUUUUUUGUUGGACGUUCCUGAUACGUCCGUGGUAGGGAAGGGUUUAAAGAGUCAGGACUUCUACCAGGGAAACAGCAUUUUAUUAUUUAUUAUCAUAUAACAUCUCUCUACCCACACAAACAUGUCUUAGUCGGGAAUAUAGAAACAGUUUAAAUAAAGUCAUUCCCAAAAUCAGGAAUUGCAAGGAAAUAAUCAGAAAUAUGAAAAUGAUUGGCCAAAGUAGUUGAAUUGGAGAUUUGUUUGAAAUGUUCAGCUGUUUUGGCUAGGAAGUUCUUCCUUAUAUUUUUAUUUAUAAGAAUCACUUGUAAAUAUCCCUAUUUUGCUGGCUCCGACUUCUUAUUCAAUAAUUCAUAUUUACAAUAGUUUCCCAAUAAAUCCGUUUUAAUUCCAGAUCGUAACAAUACGAUGGGUGAACGGUAAGGAAAGGCCCUUUAGAUAGAGAGACGGAUGCAUUAGUGUAGCUGUUAUAAUGUGCAGAGAAGGUUUCAUUCAUGACAGAGUUUUUAUUUUCCGGUUGAGAAUAAUCUGAGUGAAAGACAGGAAGCGGUGACAGUCUGAGUACAACAAAUUUCUUAAUGUGACACUGUGCCCUUCAAACAGUGCCCAAACACGCUCUUUAAGUAAAUAGCACAGAGACACCAAGUGGCACCCACACUUACAAGAGAAAAGAGUAGUCAGACCAGGGGCCUGGGGAAAAAAGUGUGGGAACUUAACCAAGAUCCCCCCCUCCCUCCCCCUCAAAAAAUAAAAUAGCAAGACUGGAGCCCUGUGUACAGCAUUGACCAUGUGAAGUAUAUAUUGGCCUAUAAUAACGACGUGUUGUGUAGUCCCAAAUGAUCACACGGUGCAUUCUUUUUCUUCAUGUGGCUAUUUAAGAGUUGGUUUCGUUGGUAUAAAGUUGCCAUUUGUGUAAGAACUGAGAGCAGAUGUUGGAAAGGCAAAGCUGUUUGUUUGCAGACAAUAUACGAAUGGACCUCCAGCUUGUAACUAAACUGACAAUAAGAAUUAUUGAAAGGAACCUUCUCACAGCACGUGGGGAUAUUUGUUAGGACAGGACAUGUAACAAACAGUAAUACUAUGAAAACAGUAAUAAUGGUAAUAAUGAUGAAUCAUAAUACAAUAUAUUCCUAAUGUGUUAUUGUUUCCCACGAGACCAUGUUAAUCAUCAGUCUAUACAUCCCACAUCCCAGUAUGAUUUACUUAUCCAACUGGGCAAGCAAUGCGUCUUAACCGUAAGGUUCAAGGGGUUUGAAUUAGGCCAGAAAUAAUAUACACAAGAGACAGUGUACAUUAAUUAACCCUUUAGAUGCUAAAUGUGUAUAACAAUGUAUUGCACACACCAUGGCACUCAAAGUGUUAAAAGUACCCUCUAAUCCCACAGACCCACAAGCAUUCUCCCCUAUACACACACUGCCCCCCCAUACAAACAAACACCCCCGAUACACACACACUGUCCCCCAUACACACACUGCCCACACACUUCUCAACACACAGACACGUGCCCCCACACACUGCCCUAUACACACACACACUGCCCCACAUACACACACAC
rnacentral:lncRNA from 1 species